GACGAACGCUGGCGGCGUGCUUAACACAUGCAAGUCGAGCGGUAAGGCCCUUUCGGGGGUACACGAGCGGCGAACGGGUGAGUAACACGUGGGUGACCUGCCUUUAGCUCUGGGAUAAGCCUGGGAAACCGGGUCUAAUACCGGAUAUGACUCCGCGGCGCAUGUUGUGGGGUGGAAAGCCUUGUGCGGCUGGAGAUGGGCCCGCGGCCUAUCAGCUUGUUGGUGGGGUGAUGGCCUACCAAGGCGACGACGGGUAGCCGGCCUGAGAGGGCGACCGGCCACACUGGGACUGAGACACGGCCCAGACUCCUACGGGAGGCAGCAGUGGGGAAUCUUGCGCAAUGGGCGAAAGCCUGACGCAGCGACGCCGCG
rnacentral:rRNA from 1 species